CCCAAACCGAUCCACAUAAUGGUUAUGGGGUAGUCGGGGCAGUGAUAGCCUAUGGAGCAAACCACAUGGGCCAGGGAUGACUCCCUGAGCUCACUGGGUGGUUGGAUUUGAGGAGCUGGAAGCGAAUCUGUCAGGUUCACACUCAUU